AGGACUAGCUACAGCCUCUCUCCUUUUCAUUGUAAUGGCCACCCUGGCUGCGUGCUGUAGUUACUGUCAACGUUUGAGAUCAGAAAGGUUCCAGCUGUACGUCACUCCUACCCAGGACAUGGACGUGCCCCCAGAGGAAGGAGAUGCUCCUCAGUACGAUGUCGUUGAUGAAGCAAGGAUGUAUGACGGACUCACCUGUGAGGGACAAUCUGCCUCUGCCAGCUGUUCUGGCUAUGAGGAACUGAGGUCGGUACAUAAUUAGAAUUCACCAAGUGAGCUGGAACCUGCAGACACCGCUUGGAGCGAGAACGCGUCAGUGGAAGUUUUGUUUUGUUUUGUUUGUUUGUUUGUUUAACUCAGCAAUCAGGAACAUUGGAACUGUAUGGCGGCGACAUGUAACUUGUCGAGUCUGGACCAGGGAACUCAGUGAUCAACGUCAUGAGCAUCGAUGUACACAAAUGGGAUACAAUAACAUGUGUCAGCAAGCCUCUAGCCACAAGCAAUGGAUGAUUAUACUGUGCUAAUGUUGUCAUGGAAACAGGGUUGGUAGUUUGGACUAAUGGUACAGGUGUCCCCGAUGUUCCUCAAUCAAACAGCUCUGUAUGGUUAUGGGAUGGGGAUGUAGCUGAGCAGGUUUUCAUUCACUUAAACCGGGCCCCGGACAUAUAUGUCCGUGCCGACUGGUUUCUUCAGGGCAGCGGACUGUCUCAUAUUUACAGGUGUAUUCAUAGGGGGCCCAUAGCUAUGUGUAUGUGUAGGGUAUGCAUUCAUGUGACGUGACUUCAGCCCGAGCGUAUUGCCUGCUUGAGUCAGCAACGCAAACUUUUCAUUCAAAACAAGAACUGUGAAAUAUUAAGAAUGGCCUUCUCUUAAUGGCAGUAACAUCUCAUCAAAACUCGAGAAUACCUCAACGAAGAGAGUCGUUUCUUACCAAGUAAUAUAUGGCCUGUGUAUGGAUUAUUUCACAAUUAUUGCAUUACCUAAGAAUAUAAACAGUGAAGUAAUGGAGUGUGACCACAAGGGAACUGUUUCGGAACCUGUAUCCAAUACCAUCGAGACUUAGCUUCGCGGUCGAUAUGGACUUUGGGUAAUUACUUUUCCAAGGCAAUGAAGUGAAUCAAAACAGCCUGAUACGCAUGUUUUCAUAUUUAUAUUUGCCAUUUGAUCACUGUAUCGUGAAUAUCAAUAAAAUCGAAUAAAUUAGU